AGGUGAAAACCCCACUGCAACACCAGAGCAUUGAGAACCCCGUCUUCUUCUCAUUCUUGAACCUCUUUCAAUCCUCGCAAGGUCACACUGUGCCAUAUUUUAGCGGAACAACAAUGAUAAUGUCGAUGUUAAGGUUAAGGUAUGCUCUUUCCAUUCCUAGGUUUCCCCGUUUUCUUGUUCCGCAACCCUACACUCUCAGCCUCUACUCUUUCACAAUCCUGAUGAUGUCAUUGUCUCAUUCAAUCGCAUGCUCCGUGAGCGUCCUACACCACCCAUCUUUCAAUUUAAUAAGAUUUUAGGAUCCCUUGUGAAGAACAAACACUAUCAAAUCAACUUGGCUUUUUCUGUAUUAGCCGGCAUUCUCAAAAUUGGUUAUCACCCCGACACCAUAACCUUCAACACACCCUUAGUGGCGAGAUUAAGAAAACAUUGCACUUUCAUGACAAAGUGGCAGCUCAAGGAUUUAAGCUGGACCAAGUUAGUUAUGGGACUUUGAUCAAUGGAUUGUAUAAAAUAGGACAAACAAGAGUUGAGAAGGAUUGAAGGGCGGUUGAUCAAGCCCGAUGAGCUAGGGCCAGACACCAUGCCUCACAGGGGAGUGAGUCCCAAUGUAAAUGUCUCGCACAUCUAUUGUCCCUGAUAUGGUGAAAUGAUUCCUAGAGGCUUAUCGUAAGAGUUAAACUGGGUGAGAUAUGUUCUAGUUUCACAUUAAUUUGUUUUGAAAUUUGAUGAUGACAAGCUGAUAUUUUUUUCUUUUGAUAGCUGAACAUAAAAAAAGAUGGACUAUGUUAUUGGCUCAUUGCCAUAAUAUUGAUGGGUUGUUGAGAAUUUAUAUAAUUAUCCUUUUUCUUCCCAA